rnacentral:rRNA from 1 species
GGUUAAGCGACUAAGCGUACACGGUGGAUGCCCUGGCAGUCAGAGGCGAUGAAGGGCGUGCUAAUCUGCGAUAAGCGCCGGUAAGGUGAUAUGAACCGUUAUAACCGGCGAUACCCGAAUGGGGAAACCCAGUGUGACUCGUCACACUAUCAUUAACUGAAUCCAUAGGUUAAUGAGGCGAACCGGGGGAACUGAAACAUCUAAGUACCCCGAGGAAAAGAAAUCAACCGAGAUUCCCCCAGUAGCGGCGAGCGAACGGGGAGGAGCCCAGAGCCUGAAUCAGCAUGUGUGUUAGUGGAAGCGUCUGGAAAGACGCGCGAUACAGGGUGACAGCCCCGUACACAAAAGCGCAUGUGCUGUGAGCUCGAUGAGUAGGGCGGGACACGUGGUAUCCUGUCUGAAUAUGGGGGGACCAUCCUCCAAGGCUAAAUACUCCUGACUGACCGAUAGUGAACCAGUACCGUGAGGGAAAGGCGAAAAGAACCCCGGCGAGGGGAGUGAAAAAGAACCUGAAACCGUGUACGUACAAGCAGUGGGAGCACCCUUUGGGGUGUGACUGCGUACCUUUUGUAUAAUGGGUCAGCGACUUAUAUUCUGUAGCAAGGUUAACCGUAUAGGGGAGCCGUAGGGAAACCGAGUCUUAACCGGGCGUUAAGUUGCAGGGUAUAGACCCGAAACCCGGUGAUCUAGCCAUGGGCAGGUUGAAGGUUGGGUAACACUAACUGGAGGACCGAACCGACUAAUGUUGAAAAAUUAGCGGAUGACCUGUGGCUGGGGGUGAAAGGCCAAUCAAACCGGGAGAUAGCUGGUUCUCCCCGAAAGCUAUUUAGGUAGCGCCUCGUGAAUUCAUCUCCGGGGGUAGAGCACUGUUUCGGCUAGGGGGCCAUCCCGGCUUACCAACCCGAUGCAAACUGCGAAUACCGGAGAAUGUUAUCACGGGAGACACACGGCGGGUGCUAACGUCCGUCGUGAAGAGGGAAACAACCCAGACCGCCAGCUAAGGUCCCAAAGUCAUGGUUAAGUGGGAAACGAUGUGGGAAGGCCCAGACAGCCAGGAUGUUGGCUUAGAAGCAGCCAUCAUUUAAAGAAAGCGUAAUAGCUCACUGGUCGAGUCGGCCUGCGCGGAAGAUGUAACGGGGCUAAACCAUGCACCGAAGCUGCGGCAGCGAACGUAUCACUUAAAGCGAUUCAGCGGGUUACGAUUGACGGAGCGAAGCGACGUCAAAGCGUAUACAAAGUCGAGUCGGUUUAAGGAUACGUUCGUUGGGUAGGGGAGCGUUCUGUAAGCCUGUGAAGGUGGCCUGUGAGGGUUGCUGGAGGUAUCAGAAGUGCGAAUGCUGACAUAAGUAACGAUAAAGCGGGUGAAAAGCCCGCUCGCCGGAAGACCAAGGGUUCCUGUCCAACGUUAAUCGGGGCAGGGUGAGUCGACCCCUAAGGCGAGGCCGAAAGGCGUAGUCGAUGGGAAACAGGUUAAUAUUCCUGUACUUGGUGUUACUGCGAAGGGGGGACGGAGAAGGCUAUGUUGGCCGGGCGACGGUUGUCCCGGUUUAAGCGUGUAGGUGUGUGUUCCAGGUAAAUCCGGUUCACUUUAACACUGAGGCGUGAUGACGAGGCACUACGGUGCUGAAGCAACAAAUGCCCUGCUUCCAGGAAAAGCCUCUAAGCAUCAGGUAACAUCAAAUCGUACCCCAAACCGACACAGGUGGUCAGGUAGAGAAUACCAAGGCGCUUGAGAGAACUCGGGUGAAGGAACUAGGCAAAAUGGUGCCGUAACUUCGGGAGAAGGCACGCUGACACGUAGGUGAAGUGAUUUACUCAUGGAGCUGAAGUCAGUCGAAGAUACCAGCUGGCUGCAACUGUUUAUUAAAAACACAGCACUGUGCAAACACGAAAGUGGACGUAUACGGUGUGACGCCUGCCCGGUGCCGGAAGGUUAAUUGAUGGGGUCAGCGCAAGCGAAGCUCCUGAUCGAAGCCCCGGUAAACGGCGGCCGUAACUAUAACGGUCCUAAGGUAGCGAAAUUCCUUGUCGGGUAAGUUCCGACCUGCACGAAUGGCGUAAUGAUGGCCAGGCUGUCUCCACCCGAGACUCAGUGAAAUUGAACUCGCUGUGAAGAUGCAGUGUACCCGCGGCAAGACGGAAAGACCCCGUGAACCUUUACUAUAGCUUGACACUGAACAUUGAGCCUUGAUGUGUAGGAUAGGUGGGAGGCUUUGAAGCGUGGACGCCAGUCUGCGUGGAGCCGACCUUGAAAUACCACCCUUUAAUGUUUGAUGUUCUAACGUGGACCCGUAAUCCGGGUUGCGGACAGUGUCUGGUGGGUAGUUUGACUGGGGCGGUCUCCUCCUAAAGAGUAACGGAGGAGCACGAAGGUUGGCUAAUCCUGGUCGGACAUCAGGAGGUUAGUGCAAUGGCAUAAGCCAGCUUGACUGCGAGCGUGACGGCGCGAGCAGGUGCGAAAGCAGGUCAUAGUGAUCCGGUGGUUCUGAAUGGAAGGGCCAUCGCUCAACGGAUAAAAGGUACUCCGGGGAUAACAGGCUGAUACCGCCCAAGAGUUCAUAUCGACGGCGGUGUUUGGCACCUCGAUGUCGGCUCAUCACAUCCUGGGGCUGAAGUAGGUCCCAAGGGUAUGGCUGUUCGCCAUUUAAAGUGGUACGCGAGCUGGGUUUAGAACGUCGUGAGACAGUUCGGUCCCUAUCUGCCGUGGGCGCUGGAGAACUGAGGGGGGCUGCUCCUAGUACGAGAGGACCGGAGUGGACGCAUCACUGGUGUUCGGGUUGUCAUGCCAAUGGCACUGCCCGGUAGCUAAAUGCGGAAGAGAUAAGUGCUGAAAGCAUCUAAGCACGAAACUUGCCCCGAGAUGAGUUCUCCCUGAGACUUAGAGUCUCCUGAAGGAACGUUGAAGACGACGACGUUGAUAGGCCGGGUGUGUAAGCGCAGCGAUGCGUUGAGCUAACCGGUACUAAUGAACCGUGAGGCUUAACCUU